GACUCGGUGGCGGAUGGCCCGCAUCUCCUGCUGCUAGGCAUUCUGCUACGAUGAUCAACAAGCUCAACGGAGAAGCCGCCCGUUCGAUUCGGGCCCGAGUCA